rnacentral:tRNA from 2 species
GCUUCAAUAGCUCAAUUGGUAGAGCAACGGUAUCGUAAACCGUAGGUUGCAGGUUCAAUUCCUGUUUGAAGCUCCA